UACAGAGGUCUCAAGCGUUGUUCGGAUUCACUGGGCGUAAAGGGUGCGUAGGCGGGUUUUUUAAGUCAGGGGUGAAAUCCUGGAGCUCAACUCCAGAACUGCCUUUGAUACUGAAGAUCUUGAGUCCGGGAGAGGUGAGUGGAACUGCGAGUGUAGAGGUGAAAUUCGUAGAUAUCGAGAGGAACACCGGUGGCGAAGGCGGCGUUCUGGACUGCAACUGACACUGAUGAACGAAAGCCAGGGGAGCAAACGGG
rnacentral:rRNA from 1 species